rnacentral:rRNA from 3 species
AAAACUUUCAACAACGGAUCUCUUGGUUCUCGUAUCGAUGAAGAACGUAGCGAAUUACGAUAAGUAUCAUGAGUUGCAGACGUGAAUCAUUAAUUUUUGAACGCACAUUGCAC